rnacentral:rRNA from 1 species
AGUGAACGCUGGCGGUAGGCCUAACACAUGCAAGUCGAACGGCAGCACAGUAAGAGCUUGCUCUUACGGGUGGCGAGUGGCGGACGGGUGAGGAAUACAUCGGAAUCUACUUUUUCGUGGGGGAUAACGUAGGGAAACUUACGCUAAUACCGCAUACGACCUACGGGUGAAAGCAGGGGAUCUUCGGACCUUGCGCGAUUGAAUGAGCCGAUGUCGGAUUAGCUAGUUGGCGGGGUAAAGGCCCACCAAGGCGACGAUCCGUAGCUGGUCUGAGAGGAUGAUCAGCCGCACUGGAACUGAGACACGGUCCAGACUACUACGGGAGGCAGCAGUGGGGAGUAUUGGACAAUGGGCGCAAGCCUGAUCCAGCCAUACCGCGUGGGUGAAGAAGGCCUUCGGGUUGUAAAGCCCUUUUGUUGGGAAAGAAAAGCAGCAGGUUAAUACCCCGCUGUUCUGACGGUACCCAAAGAAUAAGCACCGGCUAACUUCGUG